rnacentral:rRNA from 1 species
AUUGAACGCUGGCGGCAGGCCUAACACAUGCAAGUCGAACGGAGUGGCGGACGGGUGAGUAAUGUCUGGGAAACUGCCUGGUAGUGGGGGAUAACGUCCGGAACAGGGCGCUAAUACCGCAUACUAUCAGAUGAGCCUAGGUCGGUUUAGAUAGUUGGUGGGGUAAAGGCCAACGAAGGCGAAGAUCCGUAACUGGUAUGAGAGGAUGAUCAGUCACACUGGAACUGAGACACGGUCCAGACUCCUACGGGAGGCAGCAGUGGGGAAGAUUGGACAAGGGGCGAAAGCCUGAGCCAGCCAUGCCGCGUGGGUGAAGAAGGUCUUCGGAUUGUAAAGCACUUUAAGUUGGGAGGCGUUACCAACAGAAUAAGCACCGGCUAACUUCGUGCCAGCCGCCGCGGUAAUUC